rnacentral:rRNA from 1 species
CGUAUGGGGCGAGCGUUAUCCGGAUUCAUUGGGCGUAAAGCGCGCGUAGGCGGAGCGCUAAGCGGGACCUCUAACCCGAGGGCUCAACCCCCGGCCGGGUCCCGAACUGGCGCUCUCGAGUGCGGUAGGGGAGAGCGGAAUUCCCGGUGUAGCGGUGGAAUGCGCAGAUAUCGGGAAGAACACCGACGGCGAAGGCAGCUCUCUGGGCCGAAACUGACGCUGAGGCGCGAAAGCUGGGGGAGCGAACAGGAUU